rnacentral:rRNA from 1 species
UGAAUACGAGACGCUAAGGCGUCGAAGUAGUGUAUGUCAUACUUCCAAGAAAAGCUUGCACUGUCAUAGAUAAAAAACGCCUGUACCAUAACCGACACAGGUGGGUAGGUAGAGUAUACUAAGGGGCGCGAGAUAACUCUCUCUAAGGAACUCGGCAAAAUAACUCCGUAACUUCGGGAGAAGGAGUGCCUUAUUCGUAAGGUUGCAAUAACAAGAUCCAAGCAACUGUUUAUCAAAAACACAGGUCUCCGCUAAGUCGUAAGACGAUGUAUGGGGGCUGACGCCUGCCCAGUGCCAGAAGGUUAAAGAAGUUGGUUAGCAAUUGCGAAGCUGAUAACUGAAGCCCUGGUGAACGGCGGCCGUAACAAUAACGGUCCUAAGGUAGCGAAAUUCCUUGUCGGGUAAGUUCCGACCCGCACGAAAGGCGUAAUGAUUUGGAUACUGUCUCGGAGAGGGGCUCGGUGAAAUAGACUUGUCUGUGAAGAUGCGGACUACCUGCACCAGGACAGAAAGACCCUAUGAAGCUUUACUGUAACUUGAAAUUGAAAUUGGACUUUAUUCGCGCAGUAUAGGUGGGAGGCGUUGAUUAUAAUCUUGCGGGAUUAUUGGAGCCAUCAGUGAGAUACCACUCUUGUAAUGUUAGAUUUCUAACUUUGAAUCAUUAUCUGGUCAAAGAACAGUUUCAGGCGGGCAGUUUGACUGGGGCGGUCGCCUCCUAAACGGUAACGGAGGCGUACAAAGGUUUCCUCUGAACGGUUAGAAAUCGUAUCUAGAGUGUAAAGGCAUAAGGAAGCUUGACUGUGAGACCUACAAGUCGAGCAGGGACGAAAGUCGGUCUUAGUGAUCUGACGGUACUGAGUGGAAAGGCCGUCACUCAACGGAUAAAAGUUACUCUAGGAUAACAGGCUGAUCUCCCCCAAGAGUUCACAUCGACGGGGAGGUUUGGCACCUCGAUGUCGGCUCAUCGCAUCCUGGGGCGGUAGUACGUCCCAAGGGUUGGGCUGUUCGCCCAUGAAAGCGGUACGCGAGCUGGGUUCAGAACGUCGUGAGACAGUUCGGUCCAUAUCCGGUGUAGGCGUUAGAAUAUUGAGAGGAGCCUUCUUUAGUACGAGAGGACCGAGAAGGACAUACCUCUGGUGUACCAGUUAUCGUGCCAACGGUAAACGCUGGGUAGCUAUGUAUGGAGUGGAUAACCGCUGAAAGCAUCUAAGUGGGAAGCCCACCUCAAGAUAAGUAUUCUC